GCGAUACACAUGAACAAGAUGGCAGAGUUUGAAGGGAGAUGAAAAUUGCUAUUUCUUUACGGCAAGUAACCAUAUCUGGAGAUAAUUAUGAAUGAUUUACUCUGCUCCCCCAGUCUUUUUGAUAGCUGUAUUUGCUGGCAAGUAACCAUAUCUGGAGAUGAUUAUGAAUGAUUUACUCUGCUCCCCCAGUCUUUUUGAUAGCUGUAUUUGCUGGUAUGUUAUGUGUAUUACUCUUGCACAUGAAGAUAGCAAAUAUUCUUAAGCAAAACAGGUUUCAUGAGUGAGUGCUGCUCAUCAAAACUGAAACAUUUUGGAUCUAAACAUUUGAUUUGCUUGCUUUCUCUGAAUAUCAUUUCAUUGUUUACAAAAUACUCACAGUUUAGUGUUGUGUAUGGAAGCAUUACACUUGAAAAUAACAUUUGGAUGAAACCUGCCAUGCUUAAUUAUGUACAUGUUGAGACAACUUGAACAGGAGAGUUCUUAUCCAA